GGGAACGGUGGCGUAAUGGAAGCGCACUUUCCAGCUAAGAAAGUGGUGUUGGUUCAAAUCCAACCCGUUCCCA
rnacentral:tRNA from 1 species